rnacentral:misc_RNA from 1 species
GCAAACUUGGUCAUUUAGAGGAAGUAAAAGUCGUAACAAGGUUUCCGUAGGUGAACCUGCGGAAGGAUCAUUAACGAGUCUUGAAAGGGACUGUAGCUGGCCUCCUGAGGCAUGUGCACGUCCCGCUCAUCCACUCUACACCUGUGAACUAUCUGUAGGCCGGCCGUUUGGCUCGGGGCUUGUCUCCGACGUCGAGGCUGACUUACGUCUCAUUACAAACCCUUCAGUAUUGGAAUGUACAUCGCGAUAAUACGCAUCGUAAUACAACUUUCAGCAACGGAUCUCUUGGCUCUCGCAUCGAUGAAGAACGCAGC